UGGGGAAUUUUGGACAAUGGGCGCAAGCCUGAUCCAGCAAUGUCGCGUGCAGGAUGAAGGCCUUCGGGUUGUAAACUGCUUUUGUACGGAACGAAACGGCGAGCUCUAAUACAGUUUGCUAAUGACGGUACCGUAAGAAUAAGCACCGGCUAACUACGUGCCAGCAGCCGCGGUAAUACGUAGGGUGCAAGCGUUAAUCGGAAUUACUGGGCGUAAAGCGUGCGCAGGCGGUUAUGUAAGACAGAUGUGAAAUCCCCGGGCUUAACCUGGGAACUGCAUUUGUGACUGCAUAGCUAGAGUACGGUAGAGGGGGAUGGAAUUCCGCGUGUAGCAGUGAAAUGCGUAGAUAUGCGGAGGAACACCGAUGGCGAAGGCAAUCCCCUGGACCUGUACUGACGCUCAUGCACGAAAGCGUGGGGAGCAAACA
rnacentral:rRNA from 1 species